rnacentral:rRNA from 1 species
UACGUAGGUGGCAAGCGAUACUCGGAAUCACUAGGCGUAAAGCGCAGGUAGGAGGUUUAGUAAGUCUGUUGUGAAAGCUCCCGGCUUAACUGGGAGAGGUCAACGGAAACUGCUAGGCUAGAGUGCGGUAGAGGUAGCUGGAAUUCCCGGUGUAGCGGUGAAAUGCGCAGAGAUCGGGAGGAACACCCGUAGCGAAGGCGGCGCUCUGGGCCGGUACUGACGCUGAGGAGCGAAAGCGUGGGGAGCAAACAGG